rnacentral:rRNA from 1 species
GGUAAUGCCGGAUGCUCCGACUCCUCGCAUGGGGUGUCGGGAAAGAUUUCAUCGGUAUGGGAUGGGGUCGCGUCCUAUCAGGUAGUCGGCGGGGUAACGGCCCACCGAGCCUACGACGGGUAGCCGGCCUGAGAGGGCGACCGGCCACAUUGGGACUGAGAUACGGCCCAGACUCCUACGGGAGGCAGCAGUGGGGAAUAUUGCACAAUGGGCGCAAGCCUGAUGCAGCGACGCCGCGUGCGGGAUGACGGCCUUCGGGUUGUAAACCGCUUUUGAUCGGGAGCAAGCCUUCGGGUGAGUGUACCUUUCGAAUAAGCACCGGCUAACUACGUGCCAGCAGCCGCGGUAAUACGUAGGGUGCAAGCGUUAUCCGGAAUUAUUGGGCGUAAAGGGCUCGUAGGCGGUUCGUCGCGUCCGGUGUGAAAGUCCAUCGCUUAACGGUGGAUCUGCGCCGGGUACGGGCGGGCUGGAGUGCGGUAGGGGAGACUGGAAUUCCCGGUGUAACGGUGGAAUGUGUAGAUAUCGGAAAAAAAAACA